AAACGCAACUCGAAACUCUCACCCAUUGCAAGAAUAUCCGUCAGAAAAAUCCAAAGAUGAAAAAAAUCCCAAAAUCGGGUAAUAAUUCGGUUAACAUUGUUGCACGUGAGCCAGCUUAAUGAUGGAAAUCGGAAAGCUGAUUUCGCGCGCUGGAUUUUCGAUAAUUGCUCGACUCGUUCGACUGGCGCGUCGACGUUAAUUUAUUAAUCGCAUAGACGUGGGUUCGACGAGCAAUCGCGAGGGCGCCACACGAUAUACGCAGGGAACACAAGCUGCGGUUUCAUCUGCGCUCGUAUUAAACGAAAUUACCCAUCGAAGGGAAGAGAGGCGCGACCGGCGAGCGUCCACAGGCCCCGGCUCGAAUUCCAUUUCGCCGUUUCGACCGAUCACUAAUCGAAUUUUUCUCCGUGCACAAUGGUCCGGAAAGGGAUUUUAAUGAUAUCACUUGGAGUAUUUCACAGCCGAAACGCGUCGUUGAAAAGGGGAAUAUUGAUUUCCCCAUGAUAUCGACCAUAGAGAGAGAUUUAUCGGGCUUCGAGGCGG
rnacentral:misc_RNA from 1 species